rnacentral:lncRNA from 1 species
UGAGUGUGGUGCAGGUCCAGGAGGUUUAAAUGUGAUCCUGAUGGUGUAUGCGCAGCAUGGUUCACGACUUGGGCAAACGAAGGAUUCAAACGGGCACGGCUUAUAGGGGGUUCGAGCGGGGCUGAUCCAAUCGACAGCGGCUUGACAUGCAGAGUGGGACAUAUAGAAAUAACGUGGCGUGGCUUUACACAACAUAAUGCAC